GGAUGCGAUCAUACCAGCACUAAAGCACCGGAUCCCAUCAGAACUCCGAAGUUAAGCAUGCUUGGRYGAGMCUCGUUUUCUUAUUUU
rnacentral:rRNA from 16 species